UUAAACAAAUAAUAAGUAUUUUGUUACUUGUGAAGGAUUUGUUUCAAUAAACAAUAGGACAAUGGAAUAAUAGGCCAGUUGGGUAGUUGAUGCAAAAUAAAUAGCUCUCUGGAAUUUCAAAAUUUGAUUCCGUUCCAAUCUUCAGUUCACACUCUGUCCCUCCCUCCCACGUUAUCUCUUUGGUAUGGAGGAUGCCUAGUCUGACUUCUUGUCCAAUUUGCUAUUUAAUUCUAUAGCAAGGCGAGAAAACCAGUCAACAACGACAGAAAUGCUACGUCAUCUCACACGCAUGUAUUUCAAUCUCUAUCGUGUCGCUGCUUCUUCAAAAACCCAGUCAUUCACUUACUCCUCACACUCAUCUCUUCUUACCCACACCCACGCUCACACUCACACUCACACUAACACACUCAUCCCGAUGGAUCUCCAAGGUACCAUCGUCUUCACCACCGUUGGCCGUCCUAACUAUGGCUUUGACGUUUUCUCCAUCAAACUGCCCUCCAAUUUAAAUCACUCCAAAUUCUCCAAUUCCGAUGAACUUCGCCUUACUGACGGCAUCUCCAUCAAUUUUAACGCCCAAUUCAUCCAUGAACACGAUCAAGCUAUUGUCUUCGUCUCCGAACGAACCGGUUACCCCGGAAUUUACCUGUCACGAUCUGGACUUCCCAAAUUGGAGCAGCUUCCAUCUGUCCUGGAGAGCCUUUUCCAUGAUCGUCCGAUCAUCAAGCAUAAUCGCCUCUACUUCGUAUCAGCUCAUGAACAGCCCGAUCAACCUUUCAGAAGUUGGAGCGCUCUUUACUCCAUCGAUCUUAAUCAUCAAAAGAAGGAUGUUACUCGUUUGACCUCUCAUGGAGUUGUUGAUUACAGUCCCGCUAUUUCUUCUAGUGGGAAAUUCGUAGCUGUUGCAUCUUAUGGGUCUCGUCCUUGGGGUGGCGAAUUUCAUGAGCUCUAUACGGAUAUAGUCGUUUUCAAAGAAAGCAAUCCGGAUAAACGAGUGGUGGUUUGUGAAAGAGGUGGAUGGCCCACCUGGUCAGGUGACUCGACGAUUUAUUUCCACCGUCAAGCUGAUGAUGGGUGGUGGAGUAUUUUCCAGGUAAAUUUCCCUGAAGAUGUCCACUUCUCCGGGUUUCCAAACGCUGCUCUUAGGGUUACUCCGCCAGGGGUUCAUUGCUUUACUCCUGCGGCCUUCCAGGAUGGUAAAAGAAUUGCCGUAGCGACUCGGCGGCACAACAACAAUUAUAGGCACAUCGAGAUAUUUGAUCUUGCGUCAAGGACUUUUUAUCCGGUGACUGUAUCACUGAAUCCGAGUUUCCAUCAUUACAACCCCUUUGUUUCUCCAGACUCCUCUCUUCUCGGGUAUCACCGGUUUAGAGGUGAAUCAACUCCCGGCGAGUCAAGGAUUCCAAAUCUUGAACCGAUUAUGUCUCCAAUCAAAGAUCUAAGGAUGCUGAGAAACAACGGAUCAUUUCCCUCAUUUUCCCCUGCCGGUGAUCUCAUAACCUUCAAUCCCGACUUUGAUGAGAAUGGGGGUGUAAAAAUCGUCAAAUCGGACGGUUCAAAACGAUGGACCUUAAUCAAGAACCGAAUGGCCUUCUACAACUCGUGGAGUCCCACUGAGAACGCCAUCUUCACAUCUCUGGGCCCAAUCUUUGAGUCGGUAAAAAAAACGGUGCAGAUUGCACGUGUGACGUUUGAUCGUUCAGAUCUUAACAGUGAUCGCGAAGAGAUCAAAUGCGACGUAAAGAUCCUGACGAGAGAGGACACAGGCAAUAACGCCUUCCCCUCAUGCUCGCCAGAUGGCAAGUCGCUUGUGUUCCGGUCUGGCCGAUCUGGCCACAAGAACCUAUAUAUAAUUGACGCUGUUAACGGAGAGUUUAACGGUGGUAUACGUCGGUUAACGGAGGGACCCUGGAUUGACACUAUGCCUUGCUGGUCACCAACGGGAGACCUCAUAGCAUUUUCUUCAAAUAGACACAAUCCAGAUAAUACAGAUGCAUUUAGCAUCUACGUCAUAAAACCGGACGGCUCUGAUCUCAAGAGAAUCCACGUGGCAGGACCAGCAGGAUCGAGCGAGGUGGACAGGGAGAGGAUAAACCACGUGUGUUUCAGCAAGGAUGGGGAAUGGCUAUUGUUCACCGCUAAUAUAGGUGGCGUCACGGCUGAGCCAGUGUCGUGGCCAAAUCAGUUUCAGCCAUAUGGAGAUUUGUAUUUGGUGAGGUUGGAUGGGAGGGGAUUGAGGAGGCUGACAUGGAAUGGAUACGAGAAUGGGACACCGGCAUGGCACUCUGGGAACAAUCUGGACUUGGGCCGUCUGUGCCUGGAUGAGGAUGUUGGGCAUAAGCUCACGGGCCAGUUCGAUGAGCCAUUGUGGCUAACCUGUGAUAUCUAAAAUCUAAUGACACCGUCAUGGAAAUUUGAUUAGUGGUUUAUUAUAUUGAUGUUAAUAAUUAACCACUAUUGUUUUUUUUUAAAAAAAAAAAUUGUUGACAAUCACUCAAGUGUGGAUUUCACCAACAAUUAGUCAAUUGUUGGACUAACUCUCUUAAAUUACACGUGUCUGCAACUUUGUUGUUAUAUCGACUCCAGAAAGCACCAAGAUAAAUAUGUAAAAAUUCAAUGUUUGUCAGUUCAGAAACUUACAGUGUGGGGUGAUCCUCCAUCUCUGGUUAUCUCCUUUGUUCCACUUCCAGAGCACAAUAGUGGUACCAUUA
rnacentral:misc_RNA from 1 species